rnacentral:rRNA from 1 species
UAGUCCACGCUGUAAACGAUGAGUACUAGCUGUCGGAAGACUUUGUUCUUUCAGUAGCGCAGCUAACGCAAUAAGUACUCCGCCUGGGGAUUACGGCCGCAAGGCUAAAACUCAAAGAAAUUGACGGGGGCCCGCACAGGCGGUGGAGCAUGUGGUUUAAUUCGAUGCAACGCGAAAAACCUUACCUACCCUUGACAUCCUGGGAAUCUCUUGUAAUGGAGAGAGUGCCUUCGGGAAUCCAGAGACAGGUGCUGCAUGGCUGUCGUCAGCUCGUGUCGUGAGAUGUUGGGUUAAGUCCCGUAACGAGCGCAACCCUUGUGCCUAGUUGCCAGCAUUUAGUUGGGGACUCUAGGCAGACUGCCGGUGAUAAACCGGAGGAAGGUGGGGAUGACGUCAAGUCCUCAUGGCCCUUAUGGGUAGGGCUACACACGUGCUACAAUGGGCAGACAAAGGGAAGCAAAGCUGUGAAGUGGAGCGGAUCUCAUAAAACUGUUCGUAGUCCGGAUUGG